CCUACAGUGACCGAGUUCCCUCAGCCAGCCUGACAUUGCGGAUGCUGCUGCAAGGAUGACGCUGAUGAUACUGGAUGAAACUUAGGGCCGUUGGGGAGGCGGAAGCGGAUGAGGAGUCUCUGUGCUUGCUCACCCCGGGCCAGAUCUCAGUGAUCCAGAGCGAGGAGAGGGUCUUCAGCUCGGAAGGCUGUGCCUAUCUCUGACUUCUGAAUGUCCGGCUUCCGCCUCCCAUCUAACUGGAUGCCAGCGUCCAGCCAUCCUGCUGGACGCGGGGGAGAAGCCCCAUUUUACCGCUCGACGAGAGGACAGAGCCUGGCAGCCCCUGAGAUAAGUGUGGCUGUUGGGUAAGGAGCCCAAACCACCUGAAGGCCCG
rnacentral:lncRNA from 1 species